CCUACGGGUGGCAGCAGUGAGGAAUAUUGGUCAAUGGUCGUGAGACUGAACCAGCCAAGUAGCGUGAAGGAUGACGGCCCUAAGGGUUGUAAACUUCUUUUAUCAGGGAAUAAAGUGCGGCACGUGUGCCGUUUUGUAUGUACCUCAUGAAUAAGGACCGGCUAAGUCCGUGCCAGCAGCCGCGGUAAUACGGAGGAUCCGAGCGUUAUCCGGAUUUAUUGGGUUUAAAGGGAGCGUAGGCGGGUUGUUAAGUGAGCCGUGAAAGGCCGUGGCUCAACCCUGGGACUGCGGUGGAAACUGGCAGUCUUGAGUGGGAGUGAGGUAGGCGGAAUGCGUGGUGUAGCGGUGAAAUGCUUAGAUAUCACGAAGAACUCCGAUUGCGAAGGCAGCAUACGG
rnacentral:rRNA from 1 species